rnacentral:rRNA from 1 species
UAGGGAAUCUUCCACAAUGGGCGAAAGCCUGAUGGAGCAACGCCGCGUGUGUGAUGAAGGGUUUCGGCUCGUAAACACUGUUGUAAGAGAAGAAUGACGUUGAGAGUAACUGUUCAAUGUGUGACGGUAUCUUACCAGAAAGGAACGGCUAAAUACGUGCCUG